UGCCAAAAAUCAGUAGAGUGAUUUGGGUGAUCUCUUGUUUUGAUUUGGCCAUGGGAGCAGUUGUUGUCAUAAUCUCACUGGGGUUGCUACUGGUGGUGAUCUCUUCUGUGGGUACGCUUUUUGGAAGAUGGGUCUGUGAAUUACAUAGUUGGAGCGAAGCAACUUGACUAUCUGGUUACUGCUGAUGAUGUUGAUUCAUACCUUGCCAUUGAAGUAGAGCCCCUUGAUGGCAGGAACAGGAUGGUCAAGUGGAGCUUGCUGCCGUAGGAGUUUCCAUUGCUGUAUUUAAUCAAGUAUCAAGGGUUCCUAUCUUCAGAGGAUUUUUUUGAUGCCACUCGGGCUGGGAGUACCAUA